GUAAUUAUGGCCUGUGAUGUAUCUAGGUGUAUGAUGUUGCUUGUUUUCGGAAGCCAUUUGUGCUCGCGAUUACGAAUUUCAAUUAAAUUAUUGUAGUGUUCUGGCUGUAACUCUUACUGCUUCCCAUAUCUAUUUUGCUCUUAUGUUCAUUGUUAUAUUCAAUGAAGUAAUAUUGUAUUUUGCGUGUAACUCUUCCACACUGGCCUCGUCCUCUUCAUUACUAUUAAUAGAUUUAAGUGCGUUGUUUAUAACUGUUUGCAUAUUUAAUUUUUGUGUGUAUGAUAUUGAACACAUCGGAACUGGUGGGUAUUCCAUUAUAGGUAUUAAGAGAGUUUUUACAAGAGUAGCUUUAACUUCUGAUGAUAGGUUACUGAACCUUUUAAGUUUAGUUAGAACUGCAUUACCUUUGUUUUUAACGCAUUUUACCACCAACCUUUUUUAACUUGUAUACAGUGGAGUUAGCAGCUAGAAUGUGAAGAAUGAAUGCGGGAGUGAGUAUGGGAAAUGAUAAGAUACAUGUGUUUUUUUUUUUUAAUGCAGAUGAUGUAGUGGUCAUGAGUGAAUCAGCAAAUGAGCUUCAAAGUUUGUUUGAUGUUGUAGAUGGGUAUGGAAGGGACCUUUGGUGUGAGAUUUUGCAGUGAGGAAAGCAAGGUAAUGAUUGUGAACAGAUCAGAGAAUGAGAGAAAUUCAGUGUGGAGACUGGGAGGGAAUGAGUUGCAACAGACAGAUGAAUACAAGUGUACUGAUAUGUACAUAUAGUAAUCGCCAACCAGCGAAAAUCCUUGUUAUAUGAGAACAAUCACAAACUACUCUAUCCACUCGUCCAGUCAAUGAAGCAGUAUCAUGAAGCCAACACAGCGAGGUGGUACCAAGGAUACUUGCUUGACUGAUGUACAAUUUUUCAUAGGGAAGAAGCUAAGAAAGCUAAUGUUGUAUAAUACAUGUUAGAGUAUUGUAUUAUAAUCUGUGGUGUGAAUGGGGGAAGAAUGAAUGAACAGUGGUUAGAGUGUACUGUGUAUUUGUUAAGGGGUUCAUUUGACUCGGAGAGAAGACUCAUAGUUGAGCGAGUGAGGAAAUGAAAUCACUCUACCAAGAGCAAUUGAGCUAUCAACACCACCACACCUUGCUGACCUGCAUUUACACCAGUGGGUUAUCAUGGAUCUUAUUCCUCAGGACAAGCCGUACCGUUGGGACGACGUGGAGAAACAAGAUGAGCCAGUGCCCCCUCAAAAUGAAUGAGCGACACGUUUGUACCAUGUGGAUGGUGGACUCAGUAUGGUUCCAGCUGCCACAAAGCGCUUUGCUGUGUGUAGCUGGGAUAAAUGGAAGCAGGGAUACAUGUUAGUGGUGGUGUGAAGCACGAUAGCCCCAUUUCUGGAUGGGAUGAAUGAAUGAGGGGAGUAUAAGUGAUCAACAGGUGAAUGUUGGUGGUGGUGCAGAUUGUUACUGGGAGUGAGUGUGGUGUGGCAGGGGUAAUUAAGGAGUAGGUUAUUAUUCUGGUAUGAUAAUCAAUCAUUUAUAAUGCCAUUACGUUAAAUUAUAUUCUGAUAAUCUUUACCCCAUUCCACCUAUAGAACCUGUUAAGCUAAAAGCAGUCAUAGUAGACAAAUAAUAAUAGUUUAUAGUUUGUUAUUGGUGGCAGUGUUUUUAGCAGUGUACUGAUUGACUUUAAGCUUCAUAAAGGGAUAAUAAUUUGCCUCAAGCAAUACUGGUCAGUACACAAGUACCUGGGGAUGUGGAUGAGUCUGAAUGGCUGUGUGAAGGUGCAGAAUGAAAAGAUAAGCAUAGUGAACUAGGAAGUACAGCAAGGAUGAGAGCAA